GCCCGGAUCAGCUCCGUCGGUAGAGCAUCAGACUUUUAAUCUGAGGGUCCACGGGUUCAAGUCCCUGGUUCGGGCG